rnacentral:tRNA from 1 species
CGUGGAUUAACUCAGUGGUUAGAGAUUAGCCCUUGUAACCGGAAGGUCUCGGGUUCGAAUCCAAACCACAG